UGAGAAUCUCCCAUUCCUCUUGAUUGACGC
rnacentral:piRNA from 1 species